CUGAAACAUUUCCCAUUUCCAGUUUGCAGUUUUGGAAAAUAUAGAUCACCUGAGGCUGGUAAAAACAGACACAUAUUCAGUAGAUAUGGGAAGGCCAAAAGCAAACAUUAACAGUAGUCCUACUACAAUCUCAUACAGAGUACAUAUUUAUGCAAGAAAUUUGUGACAGAAACACUAUAUCUUGUGGAAACUCAGAGAGCUAUAAAUACAUUCUCCUUUUUUAAGCCACAGGAAAUGUCAGAGUUGUCAGUUCCUGGUGCAAACAUGUUCAGAAACUCAAAAAUAACUAUAUGUAACUUUUGCUCUUGCAGAUGUAUACCCCAUUCAGGAGUAAACUUGAGAAAAGUCGGAUUAAACCUCCAGUCAUCAAUACAGUCCAUUCUGGUAGACUGGGAAAAUCAGUAAAUUAAAUCUCAAGAUUAAAUCCUGUCAGGAAUGGAGCAGUGCUGUGGCCCUUGCUGUUGUUCAACCCAAAUUGAGCAUGAAGAGAACUAGAGAAACAAGAAUUUCCUUGCUCCCACUUCUGAUCCAGGCAGUAACACGGGUUUGUUACCAUGCAUGCUGCAAUGAGAUCCCAGAGAGCGACCCGCGUUCUCGGGCCCAGAGAGCACCGCUGAAGAUUGCUGGU